rnacentral:tRNA from 2 species
ACGGGUAUAGCUCAGUUGGUAGAGCAUCUGGCUUACAUCCAGAAGGUCAACAGUUCAAGCCUGUUUAUCCGUUCCA